CUAUUAUUAACUCCUUGUGGUAUAAUGUACUUGUAAUCCUAGAAUGGUUUGGGUUCAAAGGGACCUUAAAGAUCAUCUAGGUCCAACCUCCCCCCACGGGCAGGGGUGCCACCCAAAAUGAGUUUGUUCUGUGACAUUUCAAUCUGUGGGUGGAUGAUAUUUGUUUGUGAGCAAUUUUAACUGUUACACAUGCUUCUCUUUACAUUUGAUUUGAAAUGAGAGAACAGAAAAGUACCCUUUCCACCUGGUUUUGCCCCCUGCUUAAUGCAGGUAUGUUCCCUACAAUGGGUAUUUCUCUAUACUCUAACUUUGAAAGGCUGUAGUGAUGGGGCUUAAUCUGAAGAGAGGAGCACAUUACUGGGAUGUGUUUCCUGAUAUUCUGGCUUUAUUUGCCAUUGGUUUUUUUCCCACUUUCCUAUCACACGUCCAUAUGUGUCCUUGAGACUAUUCAAAACACUUUCCUGUUGCUAAGCCUAGAAUAUCAGUGCCUAUCUUUAAUUUCUGUGUACUGCUUUUAUUUUUACUAAAUCAGACUGCAUUUUACUUGUGAUUUAUCUUCAGUCCUCUACAGAGCCCCUUUUUUUGCAAUUUAGAAAAAGGGUAUUUUGAACACUGUUCUUUUUUCGUUUUUUUUUUUUUUUUUUUUUAAUAGAAAUGAGUGUUCAAGCUCAGAACUUCAUCGAAAUUUAAACAACUUAUGCACAGCCCUUUGAAAGCGCCCACCGCUCCCAGAUUUUCUGCUGCAGCCAAAGGAGAGUCCAGCCUUCCAAUUCCAGUUUCCCAGGGGUUCUGAGGAGCGCUGUUUCCCAGGGCAGCGAGCGGGAUGGGGGCCGCGUGCCCUCUGCUGGGAGAGCUUUGUAACGUCAGGCGUUCCUCUGGAAGCGCCGUUGCCGCAUUCCAAGAUGUCCUGAGCGGUUGAUUACCAACGUGCUUGAGUUGGCAUUCCAAAAGAAGUUUCUUUCGGUUACUCCUGGGAAAACUCAUGUUGCAAUUUCAGAGCGUUGAAGUGUGCUAAUAAUGGAGUCCGUUCCAUGUGCAUGGAAGGGAUGAUUGUGACACAUGGUCCCGUACAAGAAAAAAGGAAAAAGAUCUUCAAGUGAGCAAGUAGUUUGUGCACACCUUAAUACAGAAGCAGAAACACCAAGAAACCAAGCCCUAUCCAAGAAUCUGGUUCUGCUAAGGAAGCCUCUGGCUUGUCUUCUGGGGAGUGUUCAGGAAUCAUUUUGAUGAAUUCCAAUUAAGAGUCUUUUUGACACCAGGGGAUGAAGAGGUCAAAGGAUGUCCUGAGCAGCACAUAACAGACUACAUGGAGCACAGAUAAAGUGAGCACAACGAGACUUGCACAGUACACACAGCGUGUUCCUUAUCUACAGGAUGAGACGAGGCUGUUUUAAUAACUACCAUGAUGAAGAUGGAGAUGAACUUAUAUACAAGAGGAAUUGCCUUCACAUUACACACAUUAUCUUCCUACAAAGCAGCAAUUGUUUUUUGCAAAUAACAUAAUAUUAAAUAAUUGGUAGAA